rnacentral:rRNA from 1 species
UACGGGGGGGGCAAGCGUUGUUCGGAAUUACUGGGCGUAAAGGGCCCGUAGGCGGCCAACUAAGUCAAACGUGAAAUCCCUCGGCUUAACCGGGGAACUGCGCUUGAUACUGGAUGGCUUGAGAUUGGGAGAGGGAUGCGGAAUUCCAGGUGUAGCGGUGAAAUGCGUAGAUAUCUGGAGGAACACCGGUGGCGAAGGCGGCAUCCUGGACCAACACUGACGCUGAGUGAGCGAAAGCCAGGGGAGCAAACGGG